UGGCUUGUAGCUUAAGUGGUAGAGUUUCCGGCUUUUAACCGGAAUGUCGGGGUUCGAGUCCCUGCAGGCCAACCA
rnacentral:tRNA from 1 species